UCUCAGUAGUCUGUGUGUGUCAGUGCAGAGACAUCAAGAUGAGUUCUCAGGGGAUUCUACUUCCUCUCAUACUGAUUUAUAUUCAGGGUUCCUGGGCACAGAUUACAUUGACACAAAAUCCAAAUUACAUUCCUGCAACUCCAGGACAGACAGUCACCAUGCCAUGUAAAUCCAGUACAGGUAUUGGCACCUGUGUACACUGGUACCAGCAGAAAUCAGGACAACCUCCAACACUGAUUAUAUACUUGGCAACCAAUCUGCAGUCUGGAGCCCCAGCCAGGUUCAGUGGAUCUGGAUCUGGAACAUAUUUCACUCUUACAAUCAGAAACAUAAA